CAUCAGCGGCUAGGGUGGUGGUGGACUGGUGAUUGUCGUCGAUCAGUGAUUGGUGGCAUCUGGCAAGCAGGGGAAAAUGGUGGUGAAAUAUUAAGGACAUGAUUGUCAAUUCACACAUUAACGGUUUUGUUCUUUUUUAUGGCGGUAUUUAACACUUCAAAAUGAGAAAUUGAUUUUGGCACACCCUUUAUUGAUUUUGGCACACCCCUAUGUGAGAAAGAACAUAGAAAAUUAUGCUUUCACAUAGGAGUAUGCCAAAAUCAAUUAGGGGUGUGCUAAAAUCAUUUCCCUCCAAAAUGAUCAAAUUAUAAAAAUCUAAAAAUUGGUCAAAUUAUUUUACCGUAUUAGCAUACAGUUUAUAUUCCUCAAAAUUUCUAAACAAAAUUCAGCUCAAAGAUACAGAUUAUCAUUAAAUCAUAAAAAAAAAAAAAAAAAAAAAAAAGAAGCUAGGGUUUCUAAUUACUUGAAAACAUUAAUCAAAUUCAACCUUUUUUCAGACGGGAAUCAAAUUCAACCUAAUAUGCACUUUUUCCCCCAAUUUUGGCCUGAAAUCAAUCAAAUUCAAGCGACAUUGUUGUAAGAUCAAUUUUCAAUGUUUUCUGGGAAUGCUCAACUUCGAUGUUGCUCUUCAUUUCCGCUUUUCGGACCAAAUUUCGUCUUCUCUCGCCAUUUUUAACGCCCAGGAUCAUCAAGGAGGUUGGCUUUCCUAGUACUCUGCCACUGCGAUGGUUGGGAUUGCAGUUGCAACUUUUCUAUGGAGGAAUGCCUGGAUAAGAUGGACAAAACAUCGCAGGAUCUAAUAUUUGCAUGAGAUCAGUACCUCUGAGGGUGCAAGUUCGACUAGUGAAAGUUGCGAGCUGCACUGUAACUGUGGGCUUCCAGCCAAAUUGGAGGAUGUCAAAAACUUUGAGAAAUCCCUAUAGAUUAUUCUUUAACUGCCCCAAGAAUGUGUUUCAGCAUCAAUGUGAAUUUUUUCAUUGGUCUGAUGAAUUAUCAGCUAGUGUAGAAAGAAGUAGAAAAGAAAUUAGUUUCCUUCGGAAUGAGUGUAUUCGGCUGCACAAGAGAAUUGCAUAUGUUCAGUCUCGGCGAGAAAAUGAUAGAGCUUUGUGGGAGCUAGAAAGGUCAGAGCUAAGAUCAGAGGUAUCAUCUGUUCAAGCAGAGCUAGAUGAUAUCAAGAGUAGAGUUCAACACUUGUACAAGUUAGAUAAUAUGCCUCCCGUAGAUGAAUCGUAUGUCAUGAAAGCGGAGAAUGAUGAGCAAUAUAUAUAGAAAUUAUAUAGAAAAUGAGGAGAGCUCAACGUACUUGCUCAUCUUUAGUGCUCUGCUUCAAACAUCCAUAUACCGCAAACUGUUGUUGCCAUCAACCCUCCGAUUUUUGAAAGGAAAAUAUAUUUGUAGUCUCAGUCUCUUAGCAGAAGGAAGCUUUUGUCUUGAGGAUGGGGUUAGCCAGUUUCAUGAAAAUUGUACUGAUUUGCUCCCCUUGUAAAAAAAUUGACAUUACAUAAAAGUGGUUUAAUCUACAUGGACAGUCUAUCUGUCAUGUUAAUGUAUUUAAAUUAUAUGUUCAUCACUAUGGAGUAGCUAUUAAGCCUAUGUGUUGUUAGAGUUGCUCACAUUGCACGGCUUUAUUAAAUAUUGUUACGGAGUAUUGCUUUUAUAGCCCUGAUAAGAAAAUAUAGCAAUAUACGGAGUAUUUGGGAAUUGUAAACCUUCCCUAGUUCCUACAUAAAACAUAUACUGUACUUGUAUUCAAG